GACUGUGUGGCAUAGUGGCUAGUGCACUCGACUUGGACUCAGGAGAUCUGGGUUCUAGAUCCCAGCUCUGCCA
rnacentral:tRNA from 1 species